rnacentral:tRNA from 1 species
GGGGGUUUAGCUCCGGGUCAGGCCACUCACUUCGCAUGCGAGAGGCCGGGGGAUCGAUCCCCCCAACCUCCA